rnacentral:rRNA from 1 species
GAUGAACGCUGGCGGCGUGCCUAAUACAUGCAAGUCGAGCGAACAGACGAGGAGCUUGCUCCUUCGACGUUAGCGGCGGACGGGUGAGUAACACGUAGGUAACCUACCUAUAAGACUGGGAUAACUUCGGGAAACCGGAGCUAAUACCGGAUAAUAUUUCGAACCGCAUGGUUCGAUAGUGAAAGAUGGCUUUGCUCUCACUUAUAGAUGGACCUGCGCCGUAUUAGCUAGUUGGUAAGGUAACGGCUUACCAAGGCAACGAUACGUAGCCGACCUGAGAGGGUGAUCGGCCACACUGGAACUGAGACACGGUCCAGACUCCUACGGGAGGCAGCAGUAGGGAAUCUUCCGCAAUGGGCGAAAGCCUGACGGAGCAACGCCGCGUGAGUGAUGAAGGUCUUCGGAUCGUAAAACUCUGUUAUUAGGGAAGAACAAACGUGUAAGUAACUGUGCACGUCUUGACGGUACCUAAUCAGAAAGCCACGGCUAACUACGUG